UUUGCAGAAAAAAUACGCAUGUUGCCUUCAAUGAAGGACAGAUGUCGAGCAAUGAAUCGAUCCACUCGAAUAGGCAAGUGUUCAUGCUUGAAAAGGCCGCGUUUGAUGUUUUUAAACUCGGCUUCGACAUUGGCUGAACUUGCGGUGAUGUUGGAGCUCCGGAAGUGAGGGAUCAUUACCCCUGUCCAGAGAGGUCUGUCUGUGUUUGGUCACAUGGAUCCACUUCUUCCAGGUCCGCACCCUCUACAUCUGGAAUGAUGACACGCUCUUCUGCAAUUCGGGCUUUUAGUCCCACCGGCAGAUCAUCUUGAUGCAGUGUGCAACAUCAACCCGCACGAAAAAAGGUGGGACUUUUGCUGACUGUCUACCGAGUAAGACACCACAACACUCAUUGAUGUAGGUCUUAAGAUCAGGAUGAGAAGUAAAAGCCUUGACCAAAGCUCCGA